AGUGAACGCUGGCGGUAGGCCUAACACAUGCAAGUCGAACGGCAGCACAGUAAGAGCUUGCUCUUACGGGUGGCGAGUGGCGGACGGGCGAGGAAUACAUCGGAAUCUACUUUUUCGUGGGGGAUAACGUAGGGAAACUUACGCUAAUACCGCAUACGACCUACGGGUGAAAGCAGGGGAUCUUCGGACCUUGCGCGAUUGAAUGAGCCGAUGUCGGAUUAGCUAGUUGGCGGGGUAAAGGCCCACCAAGGCGACGAUCCGUAGCUGGUCUGAGAGGAUGAUCAGCCACACUGGAACUGAGACACGGUCCAGACUCCUACGGGAGGCAGCAGUGGGGAAUAUUGGACAAUGGGCGCAAGCCUGAUCCAGCCAUACCGCGUGAGUGAAGAAGGCCUUCGGGUUGUAAAGCCCUUUUGUUGGGAAAGAAAAGCAGCAGAUUAAUACCCCGCUGUUCUGACGGUACCCAAAGAAUAAGCACCGGCUAACUUCGUG
rnacentral:rRNA from 1 species